rnacentral:lncRNA from 1 species
UGAGUUCAAGUCUUAUGCACAUUUUUUUAUCUGUAAUAAUUUAAUUAUGACCAUGUAAAAUUUUAUUCUGCCUCUGCCACUGGUUAUAAAUUUUGAUAUUUUCUAAUAUACAUUAUUGGAUAAAUAGAAAUAGUUGAUAGGUUUUGUUCUUUUGAGUGUGGGUGUGAUAGCAAUAGCAAGAAAAAAUAUAAACCAGAUGAUUUCCAAUGAUAUCGCGGGAUAAUACCAUUUAAAUAUUAUUUUUCGUAAGUAAAUUUUAUAUAUAAAUUUAUAAUAGUUUCGAUAAAUUAAAUUUGUUGAUAAAAAUCAAUAAAUAAGUUUUGAUUGAUUAGUAAUGUAAAAAUAACAUUAAAUUUUAUAAUAUUAUAUUAAUCAUCUUAACACAUGCAUCUUAUAAAUCUGAAAAUUUUAAAAUUAAAACUUUAAAGAGAAAAAACUAUAUAUGAGUUGUGAUAUGUAUCUAAUAUUUAUAUUAAAUUCAGA